CCCGCACAAGCGGUGGAUGAUGUGGAUUAAUUCGAUGCAACGCGAAGAACCUUACCUGGUCUUGACAUCCACGGAAGUGUUCAGAGAUGAGAAUGUGCCUUCGGGAACCGUGAGACAGGUGCUGCAUGGCUGUCGUCAGCUCGUGUUGUGAAAUGUUGGGUUAAGUCCCGCAACGAGCGCAACCCUUAUCCUUUGUUGCCAGCGGUCCGGCCGGGAACUCAAAGGAGACUGCCAGUGAUAAACUGGAGGAAGGUGGGAUGACGUCAAGUCAUCAUGGCCCUUACGACCAGGGCUACACACGUGCUACAAUGGCGCAUACAAAGAGAAGCGACCUCGCGAGAGCAAGCGGACCUCAUAAAGUGCGUCGUAGUCCGGAUUGGAGUCUGCAACUCGACUCCAUGAAGUCGGAAUCGCUAGUAAUCGUGGAUCAGAAUGCCACGGUGAAUACGUUCCCGGGCCUU
rnacentral:rRNA from 1 species